UGGGUGAUCUGCCCUGCACUUCGGGAUAAGCCUGGGAAACUGGGUCUAAUACCGGAUAGGACCAUGCUCUUGUGGGGUGUGGUGGAAAGCUUUUGCGGUGUGGGAUGGGCCCGCGGCCUAUCAGCUUGUUGGUGGGGUAAUGGCCUACCAAGGCGACGACGGGUAGCCGGCCUGAGAGGGUGACCGGCCACACUGGGACUGAGAUACGGCCCAGACUCCUACGGGAGGCAGCAGUGGGGAAUAUUGCACAAUGGGCGCAAGCCUGAUGCAGCGACGCCGCGUGAGGGAUGACGGCCUUCGGGUUGUAAACCUCUUUCAAUAGGGACGAAGCGCAAGUGACGGUACCUAUAGAAGAAGGACCGGCCAACUACGUGCCAGCAGCCGCGGUAAUACGUAGGGUCCGAGCGUUGUCCGGAAUUACUGGGCGUAAAGAGCUCGUAGGUGGUUUGUCGCGUUGUUCGUGAAAACUCACAGCUUAACUGUGGGCGUGCGGGCGAUACGGGCAGACUAGAGUACUGCAGGGGAGACUGGAAUUCCUGGUGUAGCGGUGGAAUGCGCAGAUAUCAGGAGGAACACCGGUGGCGAA
rnacentral:rRNA from 1 species